AAAAAAAAUUAGAAAUGAAUAGAAAGCAUCAAAUUUUUCAUCCAACUUGGAGAGACAAAGAACUUGAAGGAACGACUGCUAGUUUUGAUUUAGAGACAGAUAAUUGAGAGAUGAAUAUUUGAUUGAGAGAUUGAACAAGAGGGAGGGGGUGGCGGCUAGGUUUGCUAGGGUUGGAAGAAGAAACUAAAAAGUAGAUCUUUAUAUGGGAGAGAUGAAGAUCUGAACGAGAGAUUGAACAAGAGGAAGGGGGGCAGCGGCUAGAUUUGCUAGGGUUAGAACAAGAAACUACAAAGCAGAUCUGUAGAUGGGAGAGAAUAGAGAUGAAGAUUUGAUCAAGAGGGAGUGAGGGGGGCGGCGGCUAGGUUUGUUAGGUUAGAAGAAGAGACUGAAGGUGAGAGAGAAUAGAGGAGAUGAAGAUUUAAUCAGGAGGGAAUGAGGGGG
rnacentral:lncRNA from 1 species